rnacentral:tRNA from 1 species
GAGUGUAUAGCUCAGUGGUAGAGCACAUGCUAGCAUGCACAAAGCCCUGGGUUCAAUCCCCAGUAUCUCCA